GUCGCUUUGGCCGAGUGGUUAAGGCGCUCGCUUGCUAAGCGAGUGGGAUUCCCCGCGUGAGUUCUCGACUCACAGGCGACG
rfam:Solanum tuberosum cultivar DM 1-3 516 R44 scf00087_16, whole genome shotgun sequence.